GAGGCAGUGCAAGUACCCAGAAAAGGUUUUGCUAUUUCUUGGCUACUUUUAUGUUCUGGUCAGGUCAUUGUGCAGAGAUCUGACAGAAUUUAAGGGAGCAAUGAGCAGAAGCACACACAAUUAAGGAGAUUCUACUUUGAGCAUGCCUCAUUUCUAGGAGCUACGGGUACACAAAGAAAUCGAAAUUAACACUGAUCUGGUCAGAGUUUUGCUUCAGGUGGAUUAAAAUGACAUGAAUUUGAAAUACGAAUUGGAAAAAUUUACAACAGAGGAUUGCUAUAAUUUUCCCAUGAUAAUCUCAGUGACUACCAACUAGCAAGUUGCCUUUGAGCUGGGACAAUGGUCUUCUCCUGCCUUCAGACUCAGAUUGGAACUUACACCAUCAGCUCUUAUGGUUCUCAGGCCUUUGGACUCAGACUGAAACUAUACCAUCCACCCUCCUUGGUCUCUAGCUUGCCAACUGCAGAUCUUGGGACUUGCCAGCCUCUCCAUAAUUGUAACUACAACUAAUUGGACAUUCAUUGAUCAACAAAGGAUAUCAACACAGCACCUCAGGACACCUGAGAGACGCACGGCCAUACAUUGCCAGGUGGAUGGACUUCCCCCAGGGAAGGAGGUGGAGAUAGGUGAAAACACUCCAGCCCCCAGACAGCCUAGUACCUGCAAGUAACUAUCUCCUAGCUGACAUGCUCAUAGCACCACCAUGGCACUGAGGGUGGGUAUGCGCAUUGGCAGCGAGACUGUGGAAAUAUGUGACUAUAGCCCUAAGGACCCCCUGAUUGCUCCUUAGUCCAGUGGGAAAAUCCAUGGUCUCACAGUGGCCAAAGGGAAAGUCUCUGGUUGGCCCUUGUGGAGAGUCCCCACCCUCCAAACACAGAGGCUGAGAGGCCUUGGGGCAGAAGUGGCUUGGCUGGUUGAGCAACCUACCAGCUGCAUUAAACACACCCAGCCCUGCUGUGGCCCCAAGGGGGCAAGGGAGCCCUAGUGGGACCGUGUGAGUUGGCAGAGACACCCAGAGCCCCAGUGUGACUGCUCCUUGGUCCAGAGGGAAAAUCCAAGGUCCCACACCAGCUGCAGGGAGAGCCUCUACUCAGCCUUAGUGGAGAGGCCCUGCACAUGAAGCACAAAGGCUAGGCGACCUAAGAGCAGAAGCAGCGGUGCUGGGUGAGCUAACCACUGGCUGCAUUAGGUACCCAUAGCUUUGCUGUGGCCUAGAUUGGACAAAUGAGAUCCUGUGGGACCCGAUGGUGGCAGAACUGUGAGUCUAGGUGAAUUAGCUCCCAGCUGCUGCAAAAGCCCAUAAGCCUGCUGCAGAUCCUAAGGAGGGAGUGUGUCUAGGCAGUCUGUGAAAGCAGGCACCAGCCACCUAAAGCCCCCUUGUGAUUGUUCCCAAAGCUGAUGGGAGAUCUCACAGGGCCACUGUGAUCCUGAGGAUGGGCCCAGGCUCAGUCAGACAGCUGAUAGGGAUCCUAGUUGGUGCAGAUUACAGCUGCUGCCCUGCCACCUCCAGUGGAAGCAAGUGGAAGCAGUAACCAAACUUUAUCUCUCUGUGGAGUCACAAAUACACACUAUCAAGCAGUAGAAAAUAAUACAUUAAAUCGCCAGAACAGAAGGAAAAUGACAAGUACCCAGAAAACAAUCCCAAAGACACAGAAAUCUACAACCUAAAUGACAAUGAAUUCAAAACGGAAAUCAUUAAAAACCUUGAUGAGUUAAAAGAGAAUACAGAUAGACAACUCAACGAGUUCAGGAGCUAUGUCACAAAAGAGCUUGAUACCAUAAAGAAGAAUCAAUAUGAAAUGUUGGAGAUGAAAAAGCAAUGGAGGAGAUUAAGAAAAAUCUGGACUCUCUGAACAGUACGGCUGAUAAUAUAGAGGACAGAAUUAGCAAUUUGGAGGAUAGGAAUAUAGAAAUGCUUCAGAUAGGGGAGGAGAGAGAACUAAGACUAAAAAGAAAUGAAGAAACUCUCCAAGAAAUAUAUGACUCAAAUAGGAAAUUCAACAUUAAGAUUAUAGGUAUCCCAGAGGGAGAAGAGAAGGAGAGGGGGCAGAAAGCCUGUUCAAAG
ensembl:lncRNA